UAUCUCUAAUCUAAUUUAUAUUUUCGUUGGAUUUACAAGAAAUAAAGAACAAAUAUAGUUUCACCAUAUCAGGGUGAUCGUGGAUCAGCCAUUCUCUUUGAUUCGAGCAAGAUUUCUACGUCUUCGAUCAUUUAGUUGAAAGUGUCAGGUCUGACUACACCGUGCAGUUGAUCAAUAAGCAAGAUCAUGUAAGUCAAUCAGAUCUGUUUCAUUCCAUCUGAUGCUCUACCUUUAGAUUUCAUAAUUUGAUUUUUGGGGUCUCACUGAAAUUGAAAGUGAUAAUCCCUGCAAUAUAUCUCUCCCGGGCAUAACAAGACCCAAAAUCUCUACAAAUUCAAAUCACGAAAAGUGAACAUUUCUGCAAUUUCGUUUCUGGGUACUUAGAGUUUUGUUCUUCAAUUUCAGAAAUUACCUCAGUUUAAGCUGUUUGUUAUUUCUAGAAGUAGUUAUAAAAUUAAUGGGAAACGGCCUAUUUCCCCACCAAAAAUAUCAUAUAGUAACAAAUCCAAGCUAUUUUUCGUGCUCGUCCUAAUUGCACACAUUUUAAGUAUAUGAACUUAUUUAUCCCUAUUUUCAAAAAUCGAAACCCGAAUCCACAUAACCGUUGGUUUUCUUGGUUUACAUCAUAAACUGAAUACCAAACUAAAUUAAUAAUCCAAAUCCAAAGAGAACUAAAUCCGAAUAAAACCAAACCAAAGCAAACCAAAAUUCAAUUCAUAAAUGACCCAAUUUCAUUUUCUUCUUCCUCUCAUCAUCGCCAUUUUUUAACAACAAGCUUUAUUAGAUGAAAUUGUAUACAUGAAAUGAAUUAACCAAACAUGAGGAAAAUUAAAAAAAAAAAUCAGAAAUUUGAAUGUUGGAGAGCUUUUUUCACAAGCGUACGACUGUACGGCUAUACCUCUGCUGCGAGGAGGUUGGGAUGCUAUGUAUCUGCGGCGGCGCUAAUCCGGAGUUCUCUUAGAGAUUGAAUGAUGUUGGUGGAGUAGAUAUGUUGUUUCUUCUCUGAUCUCCGUAACUGAACCGACGAUUGAGACGGUGGUGGUGACGGCUGUUUCUUCUUCCGUUUAUGUCGCGAUUGAUCAUAACCAGUGCUCGUCAGAAAAAUGGACUCCAUGUCAAAUCCUCUGUUUCACCCAAAACAAGAUGUUUCUGAAGACAGAUUUAAUUAAGGACUGGAGUUGACAUAUUAGUUUUUUAUUUUCACAUUGAUAUGGUCGGUGAAGAAGACGAGGUUGAAGAAGAUGGAGAUCGGGUCGGGUUACGGAAGACAUGGUUAAUUAUGGUUUGGUAUUUUUGAAAUUUAAUCUGAUUAAAUUGAGUUAAUUUAAUUUAAAACUAGGUUUUAAAGUGGAUUAACUGUUCCAAUACUAAUUGGUUGAAAAAACAGGUUAAAACUGAAAUUGAGAAAUAGUAAACCAAUCUAAACCGGCUCAGUGUCGGUUUUAGUUCUCAUCUAAAACAUUAUGUGGAUUUGGGUUUCGAUUAUUGAAAAUAGGGGUAAAUAGGUUCAUAUACUUAAAAUGUGUGUAAUUAAGACGAGCAUGAAAGAUUGUGUGGAUUUGUUACUAUACGAUACUUCUGGUGGGUAAAUAGGUCGUUUACCCUAAAUUAAAAGAAAUACUUUUUAGGUUUUGAUGGACUGUAGAGAAGUGAUGAGAAGAAAGAAAGUAUGACUUUAAGAAUUCAGAAAAUGAGAAGAGAACAAAAAUGGGUUCUUUGAAAAAGAAAGCCAUCAAUGCCUCUACCAAACUCAAGCACUCUCUCAAGAAGGUAAAGAGAAGAAAAAUAGAAGGCUGAGUCAGCUCGGUCUCCGUUGAAGAUGUUCGUGAUGUCGAGGAUUUUCAAGUAGUUGAUGAGUUUAGACAAGCCUGGUCAUGGACGAGUUGCUACUACCCUCUAAACAUUAUGACUAUCACAUUAUAAGAGGUUCUUAAAGGCAAGGAAAUUGGACAUUGAGAAAGCAAAGCAAAUGUACUGAUAUCUCUGGUGGAAAGAGAAGGAGAAGUCUCAGAGGAGAGGAGAGGAGAGCGCAAAGGAUGUGUCCUCUGACAGUAGAGAAGGUGCUUUGGUUCUAAAAGCAUUGGGAUUCAAUAUAAGUACAUAGAUAUACAUUGCAGCUCGUGAUAUAUAUAGGAUGUAUCUCAUUUUUAAGAAAACAGCUCGACCACAAGAGAUUCAAGGAGCUACUGGAGUUGCAUCACAACAAGCAUGUAGGAUCAGUUUGCAAUAGCUGUCAAGGAAGCUCCUGAGAGAAGAACAUGAACACCAACACAUCCAAGAAUUGUUUUUUUUUAAGUAUCUAAGAGUAAUUUCUUAUAAACCUAAGGAGGAAUAUUACUUUUACGCAGACCUUCAUUAACUUCUUUGUGAAGGUUCAAAUUGCCAUGACGUAUUUGGUCACUGAAAUUCCAGUCAUGUUUUUAUCUCAUUGCCUCAGAAAGAGAACAAAAUAACUUGAAAAUGUGCUGCGUAAAUAAGUAGCUCAUUCCCCGAAUUUUUUUUUUCUAUUUUUGUCCUAGGCUCUUUUAGUUUUUUUUUAUGUAUGAUUACUGAUUUUUAUUUAUUUGUUUUUAUGUAUGUUAAGAUGUAACUAAAACAA